rnacentral:rRNA from 1 species
ACUCCUACGGGAGGCAGCAGUGGGGAAUCUUGGACAAUGGGCGCAAGCCUGAUCCAGCCAUGCCGCGUGAGUGAUGAAGGCCCUAGGGUCGUAAAGCUCUUUCGCCAGGGAUGAUAAUGACAGUACCUGGUAAAGAAACCCCGGCUAACUCCGUGCCAGCAGCCGCGGUAAUACGGAGGGGGUUAGCGUUGUUCGGAAUUACUGGGGCGUAAAGCGCGCGUAGGCGGAUUAGUCAGUUAGAGGUGAAAUCCCGGGGCUCAACCCCGGAACUGCCUUUUAAUACUGCUAGUCUUGAGUUCGAGAGAGGUGAGUGGAAUUCCGAGUGUAGAGGUGAAAUUCGUAGAUAUUCGGAGGAACACCAGUGGCGAAGGCGGCUCACUGGCUCGAUACUGACGCUGAGGUGCGAAAGUGUGGGGAGCAAACAGGAUUAGAUACCCUGGUAGGAUAGCG